CUACAUGCAACCAUAUCUUAACAACAACACACAAAAUGCUGGUGGAACACAGCAGGCCAGGCAGCAUUUAUAGGGAGAAGCACUGUCGACGUUUCGUGCCGAGACCCUUCGUCAGGACUAACCGAAAGGAAAGAUAUUCCAACUCCCAAGAUACCAAUCUUGAAGUAACAAGAUUUGAACAUGUGAUAUGCUGAACUAACUCCUCUAAUUACUUGGAUUAGACCUGUGGCUGACUGCGGCAGGCGGGGAGGCCUCUGCCCUCGUGUGGUGGAAGAUGUUACCGUGGUUCUGCAUUAUGGAUUGGACUAUUGCACCUAUGGACUUUGGACCUUCUUAGGCUUUUAUCUUCUGUGGGUUUUUUUUUUGCCCAUUUCUUUCUGUUUUGUAGUGUGGGGUCUGUG